rnacentral:rRNA from 1 species
UACGGAGGGUGCAAGCGUUAUCCGGAUUCACUGGGUUUAAAGGGUGCGUAGGUGGGUCUGUAAGUCAGUGGUGAAAUCUCCGUGCUUAACAUGGAAACUGCCAUUGAUACUAUAGAUCUUGAAUUUUCUGGAGGAUAGCGGAAUAUGUCAUGUAGCGGAUGAAAUGCUUAGAUAUGACAUAGAACACCAAUUGCGAAAGGCAGCUAUCUACAGGGAUAUUGACACUGAGGCACGAAAGCGUGGGGAUCAAACAGGA